CACUGACUUCAUGGGUUGGAGUGAGGGCCACGAGAAGCACGUGGAUGGCACUAUCCCAUUUUUUUCCACAUUGCACAACACGCAUGGAUGUAACACAAGACACCUCCUGUCCCAAAUGAAGGAGCCACUGCCUUUCUGAGUGACAGAUGUCAGUCACUCCAGGUGAUGCCGCUGGGCACCGGGCUUUGACUGAUCCGGGCUGGUGAUUUGUGCAGACAACAAGAGACGCUGCGAAAGGUUUCAAAGCGAAUUCUUUGGAAGCCCAACAAGAGCCCCCACUUCCCCCUGUAACACGUUCAUGGCGAGGAACCCAGCGAGGAGAAAUCACCGUG